UAUUUUAGAUGAACGCAUCGACAACGAAUCUUUUUUAGAACUUACCGAAAAUGACUUACAAACAAUGAACAUCAAAAUGGGGCCUCGAAAACGUAUAAUGAAAUUAAUCAAAGAAAAAAAGGAGAAAAAUGUCGUAAUAGGUGAUUAUGUUAUUGAAUAUAACGACUCUAUAUUAAACGAUAAUAUUUUAUCCCUGUCUACGUCAAACCCCUUGAUAAAAGGACCAGAACCGUUUGCACUGGAUGUUCCAGAACAUUCUUCAAAUCAGCCCGUACCUAAUUUGAAGCCACCAGAAGAAAAAUUCUCGCGUUACAACACAGUACAGAAUACUCUACAAAUGCAUCCUCAGAGAAAAGAUGUGUUAUUAGCAGCCAAAACUGCAUUUGCAGAAGAAAACAGAAGGGCAUUGAUACGCAUUGUUGUAGCGGAGCUAGUGAAAGUUCACGAUAGCUGUUAUCCUCCUGAAAAGGCAAAAAUUGCACUUGCUGCAACAAUUAUACGCGAAUUUCCUUUGUUGAAAGACGUACAUUCCACCAAAGGUUAUGAACAUUAUUACGAUAGUGUAACAAAAAGAGGUUUUAUAGAUUAGAAUAUCGACUGUGGACCAUUCGGAAAACGAUAUCACCUUCAAAGAAGAAAUAUACUACGAAGAAGGUAGAACGAGUAGAACGAGUUUUGACAAAUAAGUCGUGCGAACUCCUUCCUAUCGAAGAACUCAACGAAAAGAUAUCAUGGCUGCAGUGCAAACAUCCUUCCGAGCAGAACAAGAAUGCAAUAAUCUCUUACAUGAAGGAUACAUUUCCAAAUAGAAGACAUUGGAUCAGUAUAGCAAAUCCAAGCAUCACAGAAAUUUUUAAAAAAUAUCCACGAUUGAUGGAUUACAAUGGAGAAAUGAUUAAUGUAGAGUUUCAACAAAUGUUUACUGGAUUAGAAGACAACUUUUUAACUCGAUUUCCUGCGUACUAUAGUCAGAGAAUAAUAUCGUAUGCUCAAAUGCAUCGAUGUGUACGACCAAGUAACCUUUAAAAUCAAUGAACAUAUGAGAGCAUUGAUCAUACUCGCAGAAUUAUUACCAGAUAGCAAUGCCUUACAAAGAAAAAAAGGAAAACAAACUCGAAAAGGUAAAGGAAAAAAAAGCAAUAUAAAGAUGAGGAAAUACACGAUAAUAAGACUGAUGGAGCACAAGCAGAAAACUUUUGUUCAGAGGUUGCCACUAAUGAUAAUGCUCGUUUCUUGCUUCAAAUUAUUCCGGUAUGUUUUAUAACAUGUAACUAAAUGUGUAUGCACAGUAUUUACAAUUUUAUCAUCGAAGUUAUUCAUUCUGUUCGCUAUUCGACUCGGUCCCGACGGUUUCUGGGACUUGGAGUGCCUUCGCGAUAGUUAGAACAGUUUGCCGCUACUGUCUCUCGGCCGUACAGAAAACGGAUAAAAAAUAACUCUCGUAUGGUCGUUAACACAGUUUUAUUGAUUCGGGCGUUGUGUUAUAAAUACAAGCCUUAUAAUUCGUACUCGUUAGACCGCAAUAAUCGUUAAUUUAGGUGACUAACUACACGCGGGAUAGUUCCCGUGUAACGUCCGUACCGCGCGUGCUAAACGGGUUAACGUUUGCGAAUGGAGAAAGAGCUCUCUUCUCGCCUCUCGCGAACAGGAGGUCUCCCUCCCGGCCCCGACCCUCGACGCCCAGCUCCUCAAUCCGCCGGAGCACGAGUGUCGGUCCGGAAGAAGAUGUCUCUCAAGCGCCUCGCGCAGAUCCCGCAAAGCACUGGAAGGCCCACGGAAAGUUCCGGAAGCCCGGUGACGCGCAAUGCAGGCGCGAAGUGCAA
rnacentral:lncRNA from 1 species